rnacentral:rRNA from 1 species
UACGAAGGGGGCUAGCGUUGCUCGGAAUCACUGGGCGUAAAGGGUGCGUAGGCGGGUCUUUAAGUCAGGGGUGAAAUCCUGGAGCUCAACUCCAGAACUGCCUUGAUACUGAAGAUCUUGAGUUCGGGAGAGGUGAGUGGAACUGCGAGUGUAGAGGUGAAAUUCGUAGAUAUUCGCAAGAACACCAGUGGCGAAGGCGGCUCACUGGCCCGAUACUGACGCUGAGGCACGAAAGCGUGGGGAGCAAACAGG